GUUCUUGUAGCGCAAUGGAUAGCGCUUUGGGACGUCUAAUCCAAAGGUCGUGGAUUUGAAUCCCACAUAAAAUG